rnacentral:rRNA from 1 species
UACAGAGGCCCCAAGCGUUGUUCGGAUUCACUGGGCGUAAAGGGUGCGUAGGUGGCUUGGAAAGUUUGAUGUGAAAGCUCAGGGCUUAACCCUGAAAUGGCAUUGAAUACUGUCGAGCUGGAGGUUUGGAGGGGAGACUGGAAUUCUUGGUGUAGCAGUGAAAUGCGUAGAUAUCAAGAGGAACACCAGUGGCGAAGGCGAGUCCCUGGACAACACCUGACACUGAGGCACGAAAGCCGGGGGAGCAAACAGG